rfam:Schistosoma curassoni strain Dakar, Senegal genome assembly, scaffold: SCTD_scaffold0010850
AUCCAGCUGAUGUGUUACGAACAGGAUGAAACGCGCGUCCUGUAU